rnacentral:piRNA from 1 species
UGCAAACCCAAAAUACCCCUUCUGGGAACGA